rnacentral:rRNA from 1 species
UACGGAGGGGACUAGCGUUGUUCGGAAUUACUGGGCGUAAAGCGCACGUAGGCGGAUUGUUAAGUCAGAGGUGAAAUCCCGGAGCUCAACUUCGGAACUGCCUUUGAUACUGGCAAUCUAGAGUCCGGAAGAGGUUAGUGGAAUUCCCAGUGUAGAGGUGAAAUUCGUAGAUAUUGGGAAGAACACCAGUGGCGAAGGCGGCUAACUGGUCCGGUACUGACGCUGAGGUGCGAAAGCGUGGGGAGCAAACAGG